GCCCCUCUCAAUGGCACACCCCCAGCUCGGGGCUUCUCCCUUUUCAGAGGCGCCGCGGGGAUCUGGGGGGAUUUGGGGCCAUUUUCAAGACAAACACUUUCACUAAAGAGGAUUUAAAAGUCAAAUUGCUCCCGGCGGGGGUCCGCGUGCCGGGGGGGGGGGUGUCCCUGCCCUCCCCAUAGCGCUGCCCGUGCAGGGCUGUGGGGCUCAGCCCCAGCACAGUGGCCCCCCCAGCACCCACCCCAACCCCCCCACCCUGUGUCCCCACCCUUGGCCACCUCCACGUCCCGUCCCAUGCCCUGCAUCCCACCCUUUGUCCUCUCCCAUGUCCUGCUCCGUGUCCUCCCGUGUCCUUCCCCACGUCCAUCUCCAUGUCCAGCUCCAUGUCCUGCCCCUUGUUCCGUCCCACGUCCACCUCCGUGUCCCGUCCAUCUCCAUGUCCUACCCACGUCCCAUGUCCACGUCCACGUCCUCCCCACGUCCAUCUGUCUUGUCUCAUGUCCUACCCCAUCCUAUCCCGUGGCCUACCCGUGUCCUACCCCAUGUCCAUCUCUGUCCUACCCGUCCUGUCCCUUGUUCUGUCCCAUGUCCAUCCCCAUGUCCCACACCGCAUCCUCCCCGUGUCCAUCUCCACGUCCUACCCCACGUCCUGUCCCAUGCCCACGUCCGUGCACCAUCCCAUGCCAAUCUCUGCUUCCUGUCCCGUGUCCCGUUCCACGUCCCACCCCGUGUCCUACCCCGUGUCCAUCUGUCUGGCCUCGCGUCCCACCCCAUCCUGUCCCGUGUCCUCCCCGUGCCCGUGUCCAUGUCCUACCCCAUGUCCUGUCUCGUGUCCACCUCCGUGUCCUGCCCCUCGUUCUGCCCCGUGUUCAUCCCCGUGUCCCACCCCAUGUCCUACCCCACGUCCUCCCCAUGUCCACGUCCCAUCCAUCCCCACGUCCAGCCCCACGUCGUGCCCCACAUCCAUCCCCACCUCCUCCCCAUGGCCACCUCUGCGUCCUGCCCCAUGCCCAUGCCCAUCCCCAUGUCUAAUUCCCACCCCACCCUCUCCNNNNNNNNNNNNNNNNNNNNNNNNNNNNNNNNNNNNNNNNNNNNNN
rnacentral:lncRNA from 1 species